ACGAACGCUGGCGGCAGGCCUAACACAUGCAAGUCGAACGCCCCGCAAGGGGAGUGGCAGACGGGUGAGUAACGCGUGGGAAUCUACCUAGUGGUACGGAACAACCAGGGGAAACUUUGGCUAAUACCGUAUACGCCCCUCGGGGGAAAGAUUUAUCGCCAUUAGAUGAGCCCGCGUCGGAUUAGCUAGUUGGUAGGGUAACGGCCUACCAAGGCUACGAUCCGUAGCUGGUCUGAGAGGAUGAUCAGCCACAUUGGGACUGAGACACGGCCCAAACUCCUACGGGAGGCAGCAGUGGGGAAUAUUGGACAAUGGGCGCAAGCCUGAUCCAGCCAUGCCGCGUGAGUGAUGAAGGCCCUAGGGUUGUAAAGCUCUUUCGACGGGGAAGAUAAUGACUGUACCCGUAGAAGAAGCCCCGGCUAACUUCGU
rnacentral:rRNA from 1 species